rnacentral:lncRNA from 1 species
GUUUAGGGGUGGGGGAUCAGUCUGGGCUGUAGGGUCAGUCCAGAGGGUGGAUAGUCAUUUGGUGCUGGGGGUCAGUCUGCUGUGUGCGGUCAGUCAGGGCUGACCCAGGGGUGACCUGUUGGUGUUCCUGCAGUGUCCCCGGCGCUGGCAGGGGCAGAGCCAUCGGUGCCACUGUCCCCAGGCCGGCCGGGCCCCCAGGCCGCCGAGGGGGCCCCAUUCAGCUGCACGUGAGUUAGGGACCAGUGUUCCCUUGCAUCCCUCCGUGUCACGCAUGUGCCACCCAGUGUGCCUCUGUGUCCCCCGGAGUGCCUUGUGCCCCACCCAGUGUCUCCCUGUCCCCAUGACCAUUGUCUCCAUGUCCCCCUGUGACCGUGUCCCUGUGUCGCCCCCCUGUUGCUGUGACCCUGUCCCCAUAGUGUCCACUCUCCCAUGUGGCCAUGUCCUGGUGUCCCUCUGUUCCUUCCCAGUACUCCAGUGACCGUGUCCCCAUGGUGUCCCCAUCCCGGUGACCAUGUCUGUGUGUCCCUCGCGUGUCUCAGUGACUGUGUCCCCGUGUCCCCAGGGCCGGGCGCAAGGACAAGGCCGUUGAUCCGGUGGAGUGGUCAGUGCGGGAUGUGGUUGAGUAUUUCACCGAGGCCGGCUUCCCUGAGCAGGCCGGGGCCUUCCAGGAGCAGGAGAUCGAUGGGAAGUCGCUGCUGCUGAUGCAGAGGGCCGAUGUGCUCACAGGGCUCUCCAUCCGCCUGGGCCCCGCGCUCAAGAUCUACGAGUACCACGUGAAGCUGCUGCAGCGCAGCCACUUCCAGGAUGAGGAGCCCCCCACGGAGCCCUUCCCAGCCUGAGACCCCCCCACAGACCCGCGGGGGUGCCCCCAGACCCGUGGGGGCACCCCAGUAUCCGGGAGGGCUCCUCCCUCCCCCUGCUGCUGCACACAUAGACUUUGGGGGGUGGGUGGGGGUCAGGGGCAUCCCACCCCUUUUUGGGGAGUCCCGCCUCACUUUGGAGGGGUUCCCAUCCCUAUUUAAGGGGGGUCUUGCCUCUCUUUAAUGUUCCACCUCUAAUUUGGGGGGGGGUCCUACUCAUAGUUGAGGGGUUGCACCUCACUUUGAGGGGGUCUCAUCUCUAUUUUGGUGGGGUCCCAUCUCUCUUUAGGGGGCUCCCACCCCUCUUUGGGGGUCCCACGUCUCUCUGGGGGAUCCUGCCCCUAUU